GGAGGUGGCAAGCGUUGUUCGGAAUUAUUGGGCGUAAAGAGCACGUAGGUGGAUUUGUAAGUCAGAUGUGAAAGCCUUCUGUUCAACGGAAGAAUUGCAUCUGAAACUACAAACCUUGAGUGUAGGAGGGGAGAAUGGAACUUCUGGUGGAGCGGUGAAAUGCGUAGAUAUCAGAAGGAACGCCGGCGGCGAAAGCGAUUCUCUGGCCUAUUACUGACACUCAGUGUGCGAAAGCUAGGGGAGCAAACGGGAUUAGAUACCCCGGUAGUCCUAGCCGUAAACGAUGGGCACUAAGUAGAGGGAAUUACCGAUGUUCUCUCUGCCGUAGCUAACGCAUUAAGUGCCCCGCCUGGGGAGUACGGCCGCAAGGCUA
rnacentral:rRNA from 1 species